CCUACGGGCGGCAGCAGUGAGGAAUAUUGGUCAAUGGACGAGAGUCUGAACCAGCCAAGUCGCGUGAAGGAUGACUGCCCUAUGGGUUGUAAACUUCUUUUAUAUGGGAAUAAAAUGUUCCACGUGUGGGAUUUUGUAUGUACCAUAUGAAUAAGGAUCGGCUAACUCCGUGCCAGCAGCCGCGGUAAUACGGAGGAUCCGAGCGUUAUCCGGAUUUAUUGGGUUUAAAGGGAGCGUAGGUGGAUUGUUAAGUCAGUUGUGAAAGUUUGCGGCUAAACCGUAAAAUUGCAUUUGAAACUGGCAGGCUUGAGUACAGGAGAGGUAGGCGGAAUUCGUGGUGUAGCGGUGAAAUGCUUAGAUAUCACGAAGAACUCCGAUUGCGAAGGCAGCUCACUGGACUGAAACUGACACUGAGGCUCGAAAGUGUGGGUAUCAAACAGGAUUAGAUACCCGAGUAGUC
rnacentral:rRNA from 1 species